rnacentral:rRNA from 1 species
UAGAGUUUGAUCCUGGCUCAGAUUGAACGCUGGCGGCAGGCUUAACACAUGCAAGUCGAGCGGAAACGAUGAUAGCUUGCUAUCAGGCGUCGAGCGGCGGACGGGUGAGUAAUACUUAGGAAUCUACCUAGUAGUGGGGGAUAGCACGGGGAAACUCGUAUUAAUACCGCAUACGACCUACGGGAGAAAGGGGGCAGUUUACUGCUCUCGCUAUUAGAUGAGCCUAAGUCGGAUUAGCUAGAUGGUGGGGUAAAGGCCUACCAUGGCGACGAUCUGUAGCUGGUCUGAGAGGAUGAUCAGCCACACCGGGACUGAGACACGGCCCGGACUCCUACGGGAGGCAGCAGUGGGGAAUAUUGGACAAUGGGGGAAACCCUGAUCCAGCCAUGCCGCGUGUGUGAAGAAGGCCUUUUGGUUGUAAAGCACUUUAAGCAGUGAAGAAGACUCCGUGGUUAAUACCCACGGACGAUGACAUUAGCUGCAGAAUAAGCACCGGCUAACUCUGUGCCAGCAGCCGCGGUAAUACAGAGGGUGCAAGCGUUAAUCGGAAUUACUGGGCGUAAAGGGAGCGUAGGUGGCUCGAUAAGUCAGAUGUGAAAUCCCCGGGCUCAACCUGGGAACUGCAUCUGAUACUGUUGAGCUAGAGUAUGUGAGAGGAAGGUAGAAUUCCAGGUGUAGCGGUGAAAUGCGUAGAGAUCUGGAGGAAUACCGAUGGCGAAGGCAGCCUUCUGGCAUAAUACUGACACUGAGGCUCGAAAGCGUGGGUAGCAAACAGGAUUAGAUACCCUGGUAGUCCACGCCGUAAACGAUGUCUACUAGUCGUUGGGUCCCUUGAGGACUUAGUGACGCAGCUAACGCCAAUAAGUAGACCGCCUGGGGAGUACGGCCGCAAGGUUAAAACUCAAAUGAAUUGACGGGGGCCCGCACAAGCGGUGGAGCAUGUGGUUUAAUUCGAUGCAACGCGAAGAACCUUACCUGGUCUUGACAUAUCUAGAAUCCUGCAGAGAUGCGGGAGUGCCUUCGGGAAUUAGAAUACAGGUGCUGCAUGGCUGUCGUCAGCUCGUGUCGUGAGAUGUUGGGUUAAGUCCCAGCAACGAGCGCAACCCUUGUCCUUAGUUACCAGCGGGUUAAGCCGGGAACUCUAAGGAUACUGCCAGUGACAAACUGGAGGAAGGCGGGGACGACGUCAAGUCAUCAUGGCCCUUACGACCAGGGCUACACACGUGCUACAAUGGUAGGUACAGAGGGCAGCUACACAGCGAUGUGAUGCGAAUCUCAAAAAGCCUAUCGUAGUCCAGAUUGGAGUCUGCAACUCGACUCCAUGAAGUAGGAAUCGCUAGUAAUCGCGGAUCAGAAUGCCGCGGUGAAUACGUUCCCGGGCCUUGUACACACCGCCCGUCACACCAUGGGAGUUGAUUGCACCAGAAGUGGAUAGCUUAACCUUCGGGGAGGCGUUCACCACGGUGUGGUUGAUGACUGGGGUGAAGUCGUAACAAGGUAGCCGUAGGGGAACCUGCGGCUGGAUCA